GGGGCAUCAGGUGUAGCAAUACACGCUGGCGACCGGCGCACGGGUGAGUAACACGUAUCCACCUGCCCUUUACUCGGGGAUAGCCUUUCGAAAGAAAGAUUAAUACCCGAUGGUACCUCCUGGUUAAAGAAUUUCGGUAGAGGAUGGGGAUGCGUUCCAUUAGGCAGUUGGCGGGGUAACGGCCCACCAAACCUUCGAUGGAUAGGGGUUCUGAGAGGAAGGUCCCCCACAUUGGAACUGAGACACGGUCCAAACUCCUACGGGAGGCAGCAGUGAGGAAUAUUGGUCAAUGGGCGAGAGCCUGAACCAGCCAAGUAGCGUGAAGGAUGACCGCCUAUGGGUUGUAAACUUCUUUUAUAUGGGAAUAAGGGUGCCACGUGUGGCAUUUUGUAUGUACCAUAUGAAUAAGGAUCGGCUAACUCCGUGCCAGCAGCCGCGGUAAUACGGAGGAUCCGAGCGUUAUCCGGAUUUAUUGGGUUUAAAGGGAGCGUAGGUGGACAUGUAAGUCAGUUGUGAAAGUUUGCGGCUCAACCGUAAAAUUGCAGUUGAUACUGCGUGUCUUGAGUACAGUAGAGGUGGGCGGAAUUCGUGGUGUAGCGGUGAAAUGCUUAGAUAUCACGAAGAACUCCGAUUGCGAAGGCAGCUCACUGGACUGCAACUGACACUGAUGCUCGAAAGUGUGGGUAUCAAACAGGAU
rnacentral:rRNA from 1 species